rnacentral:rRNA from 1 species
AGCAGCCGCGGUAAUUCCAGCUCCAAUAGCGUAUAUUAAAGUUGUUGCAGUUAAAAAGCUCGUAGUUGAAUUUCGGGAUCAAAUUGUUGGUCGUGCCUCGGUACGCACUGGUAUUAUUGGUUCCUACCUUCUGAAGAACCGCGAUGUCAUUAAUUUGGUGUCGUGGGGAAUCAGGACUGUUACUUUGAAAAAAUUAGAGUGUUUAAAGCAGGCUUACGCUUGAAUACAUUAGCAUGGAAUAAUGAAAUAGGACGUUUGAUUCUAUUUUGUUGGUUUUCUAGGAUUGACGUAAUGAUUAAUAGGGAUAGUUGGGGGCAUUAGUAUUCAAUUGUCAGAGGUGAAAUUCUUGGAUUUAUUGAAGACUAACUACUGCGAAAGCAUUUGCCAAGGAUGUCUUCAUUAAUCAAG